rnacentral:rRNA from 1 species
UCGAGAAUCUUUCACAAUGGGGGCAACCCUGAUGGAGCGACGCCGCGUGGAGGAUAAGGUCUUCGGAUUGUAAACUCCUGUCAUGCGUGAACAAGGUUGCUUGGUUAAUACCUGGGCAAAUUGAUGGUAACGCAAGAGGAAGAGACGGCUAACUCUGUGCCGGCAGCCGCGGUAAUACAGAGGUCUCAAGCGUUGUUCGGAAUCACUGGGCGUAAAGGGUGCGUAGGUGGCGUGGUAAGUCAGAUGUGAAAGCCCGGGGCUCAACCUCGGAACUGCAUCCGAUACUGCCAUGCUAGAGUACUGGAGAGGUGACUAGAAUUCUCGGUGUAGCAGUGAAAUGCGUAGAUAUCGAGAGGAAUACCAAAGGCGUAGGCAGGUCACUGGACAGUUACUGACACUGAGGCACGAAGGCCAGGGGAGCGAACG